UUUUUCUCUCCUUCAUUUCUUUGAUCAUGACCAAGCAAACUUUUCUCUCUUUACUAGCCCUUUUUCCCUUCUCCCCUUCUAAAUAUAUACCUCCAUUUCUUCCUCUCUUCACCUCCUUCUCAACUUUCCCAACUCUUUCUCUCUCUCUCUAACUAUUCCUUUCUCUCUCUAGGAUCUUUGUUCUUCUACAAAUGGCCAAGAACACAAAACCCAUCUUCGUCUCUCUCUAUAUCAUUCUUUUCUUUUAGAAUUUUACAUCUCGAGUGAGGAGAUUCAUAGGAUGAAUCUCUUACUAGAAUUAGAGAUAUCUAACUAUUGAGUUAAUGUUCAGAUUGACAAUUUUUGUUUAUUCUCUUACUAGAAUUUGAUUUUUCAUAAGAGAAAUUUGGUAGGGUUUUGAUUUUCUGCUCCUAUAGAAAAAGGGAAGUGUCAUGCAAAAACUCCCACCACACACAUACCAUUAACUAAUCCAAUGGUUUUGUUUGAUAUAGUGAUCGGUUAAUGUUUUUUUGUGUGUAUGUGCCUGGCUCCCUGUAUGCCAUUUGUAGAGCUCAUCAGAAUCCGAUGGGCCUCCGCAGAUGGCGUAUGAGGAGCCAUGCAUAUAUCUUAAUUUCACUAUAUCUUCUUCUCUUUGUGAAUUAGGGUUUCAUUUCAAAACCCUCAAAGGUUAGGGUUAUGGUCAAUUUUUUUUGCAGAUGAGGGUGUGGAUGAUGAUGAAGAAGAAGAGGGGAAAACGAGGAAUCUCUGCAAGAAGAACCAUGGAAAAAACAAAUCUACUGUGGAUCUAUUGGCUCAAAUUGACGGUAAAAUUAACUUUGAAUAUUUAUUUUUAUUCUUUUAGAAUUUAUAAUUUUAAUUAUAUUAUAUAUAGAGAAGAUGAAGGGGUGUUGUAAUGAACUGACAUGCCAUAGAAGUUAUAAAUAAGUUAGAAUUUUCCUUUCAUUUUAUUUUUAAUUUUUUGUUAA